rnacentral:lncRNA from 1 species
CAGCGAGACCCUCAGGGGGGCGGUGAGACCCUCAGGGGAGCGUGGCACCGCAGAGGCCCCGAGCCUCUGGUCUAUGGGCUGUUUUUUGCAUAUUUGUGAAAAACAGGAGAGACGGCAGCUCUGCCAUGGGACAGCAGGGAUCUGCAUCGGGACACCGACUGCUGAAUAAUGGGGGCAGCUUGCUCACCGGGACGGCGCGAGCGGACAGAGCAUAGGCUGGGGCCAACAGAAAGGCUGUGCUCCUGUUUUCUGAGAGCUAUGGAGACACGUUAUCCCUCAAGAGUGCACAGCACUGGAGCUCCGGGGAAGAGUUGGCGUAUAUUAAUAGACUCCUCAGCCCUUGCUUGGAGGCUGGUCAGAGCCUCAGACUUUUAUUUACAUCAAAAGCUAGGAGGCAGGAAGGCCUGCAGUGCUGGGAUACUGGGGAGAGGCAUUGCCUGGCCUCUCAAGAAUACCUAUCAGGGAGCUACUCCUUCCUCUGCCAAGGGCCAGCAGCAGACAAAUUGCCACGAACUCUCAUAUUAAAGGUGAAACAGCGUGCUUCUGCUGGCCGUUACAGAAG